rnacentral:rRNA from 1 species
AAAGAGGGAAGUGCCUCGCAAGAGGAGCCUGGAGACAGGUGCUGCAUGGCUGUCGUCAGCUCGUGUCGUGAGAUGUUGGGUUAAGUCCCGCAACGAGCGCAACCCUUGUCUUUAGUUGCCAUCAUUCAGUUGGGCACUCUAAAGAGACUGCCGGUGUCAAACCGGAGGAAGGUGGGGAUGACGUCAAGUCCUCAUGGCCUUAUGACCAGGGCUACACACGUACUACAAUGGCCGGUACAAAGGGCAGCCACUUAGCGAUAAGGAGCCAAUCCCGUAAAGCCGGUCUCAGUCCGGAUUGGAGUCUGCAACUCGACUCCAUGAAGUUGGAAUCGCUAGUAAUCGCAGAUCAGCACGCUGCGGUGAAUACGUUCCCGGGCCUU